rnacentral:misc_RNA from 1 species
GAAAUGCGAUAAGUAGUGUGAAUUGCAGAAUUCAGUGAAUCAUCGAAUCUUUGAACGCACAUUGCGCCCUUUGGUAUUCCUUAGGGCAUGCCUGUUCGAGCGUCAUUUAAACCUUCAAGCCCUGCUUGGUGUUGGGUGCCUGUCCCGCCCCCGCGCGUGGACUCACCUCAAAUCCAUUGGCGGCCCCCGCAUGGCCACGAGCGCAGCAGAAACGCAAACUCGUGUGCCGGACCGGGUGGCUCCCAGAAGCUACACUCACCAUUUUGACCUCGGAUCAGGUAGGGAUACCCGCUGAACUUAAGC